rnacentral:rRNA from 1 species
UAACGCUUUAAGCAUCCCGCCUGGGGAGUACGGUCGCAAGAUUAAACUCAAAGGAAUGACGGGGGCCCGCACAAGCGGUGGAGCAUGUGGUUUAAUUGGAAGCAACGCGCAGAACCUUACCAGCCUUUGACAUGCCUCGGACGGUUACCAGAGAUGGUUUCUUCUCUUCGGAGCCGAGGACACAGGUGCUGCAUGGCUGUCGUCAGCUCGUGUCGUGAGAUGUUGGGUUAAGUCCCGCAACGAGCGCAACCCACGCCCUUAGUUGCCAUCAUUAAGUUGGGCACUCUAGGGGGACUGCCGGUGAUAAGCCGAGAGGAAGGUGUGGAUGACGUCAAGUCCUCAUGGCCCUUACGGGCUGGGCUACACACGUGCUACAAUGGCGGUGACAAUGGGACGCGAAAGGGUGACCUUUAGCAAAUCUCAAAAAGCCGUCUCAGUUCGGAUUGUACUCUGCAACUCGAGUACAUGAAGGUGGAAUCGCUAGUAAUCGUAGAUCAGAACGCUACGGUGAAUACGUUCCCGGGCCUUGUACACACCGCCCGUCACACCAUGGGAG